UUAAAUGAUUUUCUAGUAGACUUAAGGCAUGAAGACCCAAAUUACGGAAAGAUCCGUUAUCCGGAAAACCCCAGGUCCCAAGCAUUCUGGAUAACAGGUCCCAUACCUGUAAUUGUAAUGUACACUUAUUACUGUAGCUCUGGCCCUAGGCUAACACAAAAUAAUAUGAUCGUUGAUGCUUCAUUUCUACUUUUUUAUUUUCCACAGGUUUUGUUUGUUCCAACUUUAACAUUGGACGGCAGUCAGAUCAGAGAUAUAUUAGUUGACCAUGUGCAAGCAGUGUAUCAUAUCUUCACAAGGUUGCCAGGAACAAAAGGAAUGACCAGCAGAUGGUCAAACAUUUUUAAGAUCAAGGACUGGGGACUGACAGAACCAGGAGGGAUGCCUGCAUAACACAGGAGGCUUCGAAAGGGAGAAGCAUCCUUCACAAGGGAUACACCACUGAUCUGCCAAACAUUGCAGCUAUCCUGGUAGAAGCAGUAGCUAUUAAAGAAUCAAAGGUGCUCAGGGAAGCACUUUAUAUUCUCUAUGUCUAUUUUCUACCAGCCUUCAGUUUGUAUUUAAAUAAGGUAAGGCAUAUGCUGAGGAAUUUGAAGGUAAAGUCAAGCACUCUACAUUCAGAGACCUCCCAGCUAGCAUACAGGUAGGUUCUUGAUAAAACAUACAAGCAUGGUUAAUUAGCUUGGCCAGAGACCUACUUGGUCUGAAAAAAGAGACAACACAAUUUAAAAACGUAAGGGUUAUGAAAUAAGACAGUGGUGAUAAAUCAAUAAGACUUUGGUUAGUUUAGAUUCUGAAAAAAGCAUUUGUAAAUUAGGAUUUUCUUUAUUUUUGUAAUUCUUAUGGUUUUAAGGGGACUUUUAUUGCUUUAUUAAAACAAACUAACUCUUCUGAAGUUAGAUUUAUAGUUCCCAGGGAACAAUCAUUCAGUUAUCUUUAUUUUAUUUUGGGGUACGAGACAGGGCUGUCCUUUAUCCCCCCCUACUCUUUAAUAAAACGAUUGAUCCUCUGAUUUAUGAACCUCUCAGAUGGGCAACAUCUAAAGACCAUGGCAUGUGUGGAUUAUUUACUUUUGAUUGUCCAAGAGCCUCAUACGUAAAUUAGUAAAAUUUUCACCUUUUUUCAAGAAAAACUUUUUACAAGAAACUUGAGCAAAACUGAGAUAGUAAACAUUCACAAUUUUAUUUCCAAACGGACCCUGCUGUAUUUAAAGAUUAAGCCUCCAGGGAGUUCUAUAACAUACCUAGGAUUGAGUAUUCAUUCAGAUCUAUCCAGGUUAUAUUUUGUAAACGUAUCCACCCUGAUUAAACUCACUGAAUCUCUUUGUAGUAAAUGGAUAAACUUACCUCUUAACCUUAUUGGAAGAGUUGCUUUCUUCAAAAUGUUAAUUUUCCACAAAUUAUCAUAUACUUGGCUAAAUUUCCCCUUUUGUUAAGGCAUUCAGAUUUGAAACAAAUGGACCAAGCAAUUUUUAAAUUCCUCUGGCAAGGAAAGAAACCUAAAAUCUCUUUGUUUAAGCUUAGACAAUCAAAAAUUCUGGGAGGUCUCAAUAUUUCUAGCUUCAGAUAUUUUAAUUUAGCUUCUAUUUGUAGAUUGAGUGGACAUCCGGUAAAGAGACCUACACCAACCUUAAAUUGGAAUCCUCUUUAGAAACAGGGGAACAUAUCACUUCUUAUCUAUCCUGUUGAUGAUAUUAAGAGAAAUUCUCUCUACAGAGAUACAUUUGCCACUAAUCCACAAAUUUCAUAGGAAAUGUCACCCUUUUUGUCCCAUUGGACCUACAGUAUUUUCUUUUUCUAAAAGCUAAAGAAGUCAAAUCCUUGCCUUUGAAUAUAUCCUGAAAGUCAUCACCCCUAUACACAACCUAGCUAGAAGUUGAUUGGCUCUCUUUUUUUUUUUUUUUUUUUUUUUUUUAUUUGUGCUGGAUUUCUAAUAAAACAAACAAACAAAUGAUUUCACUUUUGCAAUGAUUCAUUCAUGUUGUUAAUGGUUAUAUAUAUCUGGUCGUCUCUUUUAAAAGUUGAUAUUACUCCUUGUCAUUUAUUAUCUUUCCUUAAGAAUUUUAAUAAUCGCAUUCAAUGUGAGAAUUGACAAUCUCAGUGAUUUAGGUUGGUUCCCCUGUGUCAUAAGCCAUUUUACAUGAGAAAUCUGGAAGGUUCAACCUAUUCCUGUUGCCCUAAAUGCAAAGAUAAGAAUGUAUCUAUGCUUUAUUAUUUGUAGGAGUGUCUUAAUAUUCUUACUUUAUGGAAAACAA